UCCAGGCACACAGAGGCUGUGGCAGAACAACUAGCUUGGAGAUCACCUCAAAAAGACACGGAGGUUUCCUGGAGAGUGUGCUCUAGCAGUGGGAAGCCCAGCCCGGGUGAGAAGAUGGAGAGCCUGAAAAUGUAAUUGGACUGCUCCGGUUGUACUUGAGCCCAAGGGCAGAGCAAAGUCGGAGCUCAAGUUGAUGUGUGGGGCUGUGAUCCUUCUGAUUGUGAAAUGGCACAGCCACGAAGUCCCUAUAGGUGCCUGGAGGGUUCAGAUGCCUGCAUUUCUAGAAGAAUGUGGGAAAUUGCAUCCAAAUAUCAAUAUUUCUCACUGUUUCAGAAGUCUCAGAAAGAAAUACACAGAGACACAGA